UCAAAGUAAAUUCAUGUAAUAAUUCAAAUAAAUAUUCAUGACAUUGAUGUUUUUUGGGUUUUUUUUACAGCCUUCACCCAUCUGCAGUAGCUAAAGCUUUCUCUGAAGAACUUAUUUAAUUCAGUAGGUACACGUUUGUGGUAAAAUCACAAAGAAUCUCAGCUAAGAGCUUUAUCAACUGGUUAUCAUUCUCUGCUAGGUAGCUGAUUCAGACAUGCUGAAACCAACUCCACUACUAAUUGACUGGCAUCAGUUGAGGAAGUGGACUCCUAAUCUCACUUCUAAACUGAAGUAUCAAGAAAAGCAAUGCCAAGUGUUAUUUCUACUACUCCAUGACUGAAGAAGAAGACAGAAGGUGGAGAUAGACUUCCACAUGAUGAGUGCACUUAACAUACUACAUGAAGCUUCUCUGACAGCAUGCCGGAUUUCUAUUUACACGUCAGCAUUACAGGAUGCAACAAAAAAAUCACUGAGUAUCAUCAGAAUGUAGAAGAACCAAUUUGAAGCUGUAUUUUCAUUAGAAGCAACAAAGACCUGAUGACAAUUUCUCCUUCCUGCUUCCCACCCUGACCCCAUGAAUCCAAAGAAACUGUAAACUGUAACCAGCAAAAUUGUCACUUACCUACAACUAAAGGAACACAAGCGUCCAGAGCUCCGGUUAUGCACUGUGGUUAGUUAAUUGGGGACGCUGAGGUUGUUUACAACAGCAACAUAGUUUAUGCUGAGCCAGAUCUGUUUGAACCCCACAGCUGACUAGCCUUCCACAUGCACUAAUAUGCUAUAUUUGUACAAUGAUAACAUGAUCUGUGGUCUCAGAACAGAGACACGUGCAAGAUAAAAUAUCUAUACUGCAUGACUCAACAGUACGAGAAACAGCAGUGUUAAUAGAAUAGCAUCUUACUUGAACUAUGGAAUAGUGAGAGAGCUAACAUUACUUGGAACUGUAACCUAAAGUUAUUUAAACCACACACAGGUGCCUGUGUACUUUUCCACUUGAAAAUGUCAUGGGUAAUCCAUACUUGAAAUUAGUUAAAUAAUUUUCUGUUGUUACUGUAAAAUCCUUGCAAUUAACAUAAUUUUUAUAGACAAGAAACCUGUUAAUACAAGGAAAUGAAAAGAGAAAGGGAUACGGAAAUCCCCUUCAAAGGCAAAGACAAUCAACACUACCCCCAUCCCCUCUAUUUCAGAUCCUUUUUGAAGUUUUAUUAAACUGUAGGUAAAAGCUGUUCGCUGUAACUCUGGUUAUAAGGUUGAUAUUAGAAUGACCCAUCUAAAAAUGCUUCUGUUUGGUAACAAAACAAAGCAUUUUGAUUAUAGUCUCUCUCUUGAGUUCAAAUCUAAAGCGAUCAGAUGAUGGGUUACAAUAGGGGGGAGAGCAAACAUCAAGUCCUAAUCUGAACCACCAUAAAUUUCAGGAUGGCUGUUUUCAGAUUCAAAUUCAUAGAUUCAAAUCUACUCCGGUUGUUUUAGUUCUGAGCUGGAUCCAGAACCAGAAAAAAGUUUUACAGUUUUUGUUCUGACGUGAACAAUAUCUCUUGAGAACUGUUCUUGUGAGAUUUUAUCCCCAGAUGGUGAUCACCUGAUUCUGUGAGUAACUAAUCUCUUGCGAGUGCCAUCAUUUAGGGACAAAGUCUCACAAGAAUAAACAUUGAGAGAGUUCAUAACCCAAACUCGAAUCCUAGCCCUGAUUAGGCCUUGAAACUAAACCUGAAUCCCAGCUAAAUGUAAUCCGUAUUCCAAUCUUAACAGUAUGGCCCAUCACUAGAUUACAUAAAGUGGGCCAGAUCUUCAUUCCCAUGCCAUCCACUGCUGCCCAUUCUUGCUCCUCUAAGGUGCCAGAAGCUGGAAAUCCAUCCCAAUGGGACAGCUGUGUGUUCUCCUUGCCCAGGAGAAUCCCAAAGCAGGUUAAAGACAUAUAGUGUGCUCUGUGUCAUCUGCUCCUAGCCCAGGCCCAACUCAGAGAGCAUAUUCUUCACUGUGAUAUUAUUAUGAUCUGAGUAUGGCAUAAUUAUGCAAGAUAAGUCAUAUGAAGUAUCACUGGAGAAGUUAUGAUUUGCUGAAUAUGAUUAGCCUAUGUCUCAUUUUUGCAUCUGAAGUUAUGACUAGUGACUGUGUACCUGUAUUUCAAAUGCAGUUACACCUGGGUAAUGCCCACUACACAAGAUGCUUUCAGGCUAGAUAGCUGAUUGGGAAGGGCCCGUUCAGGGCAAUGGGCCAUUAGGAAAAAACAAUAGGCCUUAGGAGAAGCUUAUCUCCCACCUGGGAAGCCUUCCUGAGAAUGCUACAGAGAGCCUCCUUCUAGCAAUGGCUGCUAUGACUCUACAAAGACAUGUUAUGAGAAUGCUACAGAGAGCCUCCUCCUGCUAUGACUCUACAAGGACAUGUUAUGAGACCAGAUGUCGCUAGGCUCCAUCUUGGGGUGUCAGUGUUUUUCCACAGACUGGAACCAAGCUUUGAGAACAAUGGGUUCCCGCUCUAUGCAAAAGCUAUAUAAGGCAGGGAGUGACAUCAUCUGGGGUUCUUCACUCCCCACCCAAGAAGACUCCUAAAAACACCUGAGGAACAAAGACUGAGUCUCAAGGGAUUUCUAGCCUGUGAAUGAAACACCUCAGGAUUCCAAGCUAUAAAGCCAGUGCAGCUUGUCCCUUAAGAAUCUGAAGCCUGCAUGUAUUAUCUCUUAGGGUAAGAAUCUGCUAGUUAUGUCCAAUCAAUUAGUAUAUUAAGCUUAAUUUGUGUUUUUUAUAA